ACCAGGCGACGUCGCACAGAAAUAAAGCGAGAAGAUUCUGUUGGCGUCGCUGCUCUGCUAACCGCGACGCCGCACAGCGCUAACUGGCUAAAGGCGCGGCGAAUCCUGCCACAUGUGUCUGGGUAUCAGCCACAGUAACCUCAGUGCCCUUCCACAACACCGUUUCCAUGGUUUCACCCAAAUACGAGCGAAGGACGAAGCAAAGCGGCACGUGGUUAUUGGCUUCAACAAAACAGGUGCGACGGGGUCCUCCAUCACGCUUAUGGGGGCAGAGUAUAGCUGAAAUGUCAGGGGUACCUGAGGUGGGACGUGAGCCUCGAUGAUGCCGAGUUGGGGGACAGCAGGCGGGCGAGCUAGAGAGCGAGCGGGCGGCUCGGCGGGCGGCUCGGCGGCGCAGACCGAACACUCGCGGAGGAGGCUGCGAUGGAGUGAGGCCAAGACACAAGUCGCUUCAAGCCGGAGCAGCCAAAGCAGGCAGCGAAUGGCACCCUGGAGCUUAUCUCACAGGAUAUCAUGCCCCCCCCCCACCCGUCUCUGAGCAGAAACAAAAACGGACUUUCAACCCCGACAUAAUCCAUCACGCUGCUACAGUCAAAGAGCGGAUGUUAAACGAAUCAAAGGCGGAGGAUGGCUGCGAGACAAAGAACGUUUCUUCAAGAAUUUUAUUACUUAAAAAAAAGUUAAAAUAAUUACAGAUCAGAAGGCAGCAGUAAAAAAAAAAAAAAAAAAACUAUACAGUAGGUUCUCUGUGGGGAGUGAAUAUAGCAGCAAUGGAGGGGAAUGUUUCCUGGGGGCUGGAUCUGCAUCCUUAUGCCCUGCAAUUCAAGGAGGUAGGGUACUGAGGGGGGGGGCUUCAGUCUCACAGGGCUGUGGAGACAGUCGGGGGUGUAUUUAGAGAUACUAUAUUAGCAGAGCAAAUUUUAUGCUCUGUGUGUGUGUGUGUGUGCGCAUGAAAGUAUCAUAUGCUAUUACUUACUGAUCAUUUUCCCCUCAUCAGAGUAGCUGAGCAACAACACAGGAUACAACAGCCAGGAGAUGAGAAUGAGCUUUAAUCUGAAUGACGUGAGCAUCAGCCCCCGGAGGGACAGGAGCCAGAGCGAGGCCCGUAAUAUUAACCCCGCUCUCAGAGCGCCGGCCGCAUGCCGUCCCGCACGGACGCGGGACCUUCUGGGUGCUUCAUCGGCGCCAAGCGGCACGCCGUAAAAGCAGCUCUCUCACUCAGUGGGCAUGGGAAUGAGAGCGGCUUGCAGCUGGGGAAGCAGCGGCCCUUAUCAGGCGCGGAGAGAUUACGGGAAGGAGAAGAGGGUGUGCAUGUGCGUGGUGGGGGCUCUGCAUGUGAUGGCGUUCUCGCGUGCCACGGUGCCCGGCCGCUGACUCAUGCCAGGUCACGCAGAGCACUUGUGUUUGGGCAGCGCCUGUCUCACGCCACCCCUUGAAGAAAUCGAGGCUGAGAACAUUUCGGAGCUCCCCUGCAUCAAAGGAUCACCGUGCUUGGGGUUUGGAGAGACGGGCAGGUGCCAUCCAUAGCGGUCCAACAAAAGAACCCAGGAAUCCUCCUGAGUGCCCCCUUUCGCCUGCCGGCUGCCCUGCCACUCUCCAUGUCCUUCACGGCAUCAGCAAAAGGCCCGCCUCUUCCUUCUGGGCCUCCUCAAGAACAGGUUCCCCGUCCAACGAAAGAGAGAAGAUACCGGAGCCCGGCAACGCCCCUACAUUAAAAGCCGGCCUGUUGACGGCAGCAGGCCGUCCAGCAGGUCGUGGCCGCUCACAUCGUGGAUGCCGAGGAGGAUCAGGAAGGCCUGCAAUUGCAUAAUCCAGCGCUCCCUUCCACUGGCUGCCAACUGAUAUAUAUAUUUUAUGCAUCUAUUUUAGAUUAACAGAAGAAUAUUUAUGAAUACUCCCUGCCCUCUCCACUGCCACUCAUACGUGGAUUACUGUCAGGACUGGCUCUCAUGGGCGUCCUCGGGAUCCGCCCCCCCCAUCUAACAGCAUCCAGAUUGCCGUGAUGAUUGCUUACGGGAAACGCAGGCAUCGACACAGGUGCUACAAGGAGACCGGCUGAUGCAGAGUCCGGUUCAUAACCGAGGACAGUGGGGACAGCAAUCCCUCCUCAGGAAAUAGGCAACGCGGGGGCCCGCCGGAAUUCUGCUGCCCCCCGCCCCCACUCGGGCCCUGGCUCAUUUCCUGGCCCUAAAAAUCCAUAAAAAGCAGGAAAGCGGAAGGGCCGGAGAAAAGAGCGACAGAGCAGCCGCGAUCACCGCUGUCUGGACAGCGAUUUGCGUGCGAUUGUAAUGAAUGGAAGUGGAAAUCGCAUUAUUUCAACUGAAAGCACUCAGGAGAGCCACAGUCGGCAGGAUCACGACGGCGUGCUGGGGAAAGUCUGCGGCGGCACUAUUUACAUUAAAUGGCAGGACGAAGGUCACAAGCUGCCUUAAAUGAUUUUUUACAAAUAUAUAUCAAAUUAAAUGUUAUUGAUGCCGACCGGCACUGCGCUGUACAAAUGUAAUAUGAAGCUUAUAAACAUGCACCGACUCCUGUACACAUCCUAAACCACACUCCGAUUUAAGCGCGACCGUUUAAAAAAAGUUGCACCUUUACUAAAGGCACAGGCGGUUAAAUAAACAGAAGAUGCAUCCCGACGCUUACUU